rnacentral:lncRNA from 10 species
AGGGAAUCUCAGGAUACAAGGAAAACACCAAGAAGUCCCCAUGAGUCCCUACAGCCACAAUAAAUUGAAUUCUGCCAAAAAUCUUAAUAAGCUUGGAAGAAGACCUUCAGCUCCUGAUGAGAACCCAGCCAGAAACAAGAUGAGAACCCAGAAACAAGAUUUUCAUCUUAUUUCAACCUGAGCAGAGAACCCAGAGGAGCCCUGGCCAGAUUUUUGGUCUACAGGAUUGAGAAGACACCUGCCUGAGGGUCUUAUAGCUAAUGGACUGCAGAAGACUUGAGUCAUCAUUCAAAUUCAGUAGCCAUCCUCUGAUGUCCAGUUGAAGAUUGGUGAUUCCAGAAUAGCUCGCAUUGCCCCAGUUGACUUGCCACACAGCUUCUUUCAGGACUUGAAAAUGUCCUAGCCACCCCCAUCUUACCUCCUACUUCCAAUGCCUUUUAAGAUAGAAAACAAAAAACAAAACAACAAAAAAACACCAGCCACCCUUGUGGGUUAGAUAAUCCUACAUCAAGGUGAAUUCUUGAUAACCAGUUCUGUUCUUCCUUAUGUCUUGUAAACAUGCUAAUUAGAAGGAGCUUGUGUUUGAAGAUCAAGGGAGGAAGAAUUCUGAAGCCAGGGCUAGCCUUAGGGGACAUAACUCCUUCCAGUCACUUCCUGAAUUUUUUGGUACCUGGCUUUUGAGAGUCCUCCAAAGUGAGAAUUUCAUGACAUGUAACCUCUCAACACCUGCAUUUUAAAAAAUUGUCCAAAAUACCGCAGAUACCACAGAAAAGUCCAAAACUUAAGUUUUUCCCUCCACUCAGAGCAUCUUAGCAACAUACUAACCAUAAGACUCUAAGCGCUCUUACCCUCAAUGCAAUUCUCACUGAAUAUCCUGUCAGGAGAACUCUACCUCUCUUCCAUGUUAUUAAGGUUAUUGUUCUUUGCAAGGUGUACACAACACAAAUAUAUUUCUUGGUGAAUGAACUCACUCUCAAAGACUGCUGUCCUUGGGGAUAUAGCCAACAUGCCAUAUCCACAACAUAGGUCUUCUUUACAGUCCUGUUGAAACAUGUAAGAUCAGCUACUAAGUCCCUGCAUCUCAGACAGGAACUUAAUAGAGUACAUUUAAAAAAAAAAUUCAGAAGUAAUUAAAACAAAUUGCAUACAAGCCACCUGUUUAGAAAGUUCAUAAAUUUUAUGCAAUUAUUUAUCUCUUUAUUUUUUCUGAAAUCAAGAGCAGAAUGUAUCCAAGUGAAACUAAAAGAGCGAGGUCAAGGGGAAACAACACAGGGCUUGUGGAGUCAUAAAUAUGUAUUAAAGCAGCAGAGUUAAUUUUGUCCCAAGUUCCAUAUUGGCCAGGAAAAAAGAAACAAGAUCAGCAGAGUUAACAGCUCUCAACCUGAAUAUGCCUCAGAAUUUCUAGGAGGACUUAAGUAAUGAGAUUCCUGGGUUUCUACAUGGACCAACUCAAUCAAACUCUUCAGGAGACAGCUGCUGUUGUUAGACUGUGUCUCCCAAAAUUCUUGUGUUGGAAACUUAGUUCCCAAUGUAAUGAUACUGGCAGGUGUGGCCUAGUGGGGGGUGUUUAGAUCAUGAGGGCUUCAGCCUCAUGAAUGGAUUAAUGUUGAUAUCUCAGGAGUGAGUUUCCUCUUGCUCUCUGUAGCCCUCUCUCUUGCCACAUGAUGACUUCCACCAGGUUAUGACUCAACAGGAAGGCCCUCACAAGAUGUGGAACCUCAAUCUUAGACUUCUCAGCCUCCAGAAGUGAGCCAAAUAAAUUUCUGUUCAUUAU